rnacentral:lncRNA from 12 species
GGGAAUAUGAAGAGCAUUGUCAGGUGUUUCUCUUGUAAGCCUGCUGGCCAAUUUCAAACAAGUCACUUCCCAUUGUGUUUCUUUUCUGCAUUUUUGAUUUUGGACGCAGUGACAGUAACUUCAUUUUCAAGAGCAGUUCAGCACAGAGGCAGAGGGAAAUUCAUCACUUGAGGACAUCACCAGCAUUCAGGAAUGUGAAACCAACCACUGAUCUACAGUCUCUGUCUAAUCCACAAAUUCCAUCAUCUCAGGUCUCUUGAUAUUUUCAUCAGUCUCAUCAUGUGUCUGAAUAAAAAUGAGCAACAAGGCUACCAAAAGAUAACUGGAACAAGAUGUAUUCUAGAAAGAGGAC